UAUUUGUUUGAGACCUCAACCUGAUAGAUAAAUAGCCCCCACUCAAGUUGAAUUAUCAAACAUGACAGACUUCAAGUAUUUUAUUUAAACAGAUGAUGGUGGUGGUGACAGGCGACAGCACAUCAGAACAUAAACUAUAUCUAUUGAUGUUGAGUCAGAAGUCAACAACGAUACAAGAAGAAAACAUUUUUCUCUAGGCACGUUCUUGCUUGAUCAAAACACGAAAAACAGAACAAGAGAUAUCGUUUACCUCUUUGGAUCUUUGUCUAAGCCUGAAUGUUGUUACUGCUAUCUUCUUGUGUUUCUUUUUCUUCUUCACGUUGAGGAAUCUCUCUUGCUCUU